rnacentral:rRNA from 1 species
AAUCCCGACUCGGGGAGGUAGUGACAAUAAAUAACAAUGCCGGUCUGGCAAUUGGAAUGAGCCAAUCUAAAUAACGAGAACAAGGGCAAGUCUGGUGCCUUCCAGCUCCAAUAGCGUAUAUUAAAGUUGUUGGAUUUCGGGGGCCUGGCGGUCCGUCCGAGAUGGUCCCUCUCGAAAGCCCCGACUGCUCUUCACUGUCGGGGUUCGGGACGUUUACUUUGAAAAAAUUAGAGUGUUCAAGGCAGGCUGAAUACAUUAGCAUGGAAUAAUGGAAGAGGAUUUUGUUGGUUUCUGGGCCGAAGUAAUGAUUAAGAGGGACAGUUGGGGGCAUUCGUAUUAAUUGUCAGAGGUGAAUUCUCGGAUUUAUGAAAGACGAACAACUGCGAAAGCAUUUGCCAAGGAUGUUUCAUUAAUCAAGAACGAAAGUUUUCGAAGACGAUCAGAUACCGUCGUAGUCCUAACCAUAAACUAUGCCGACUAGGGAUCGGUGGAUGACUCCAUCGGCACCUUAUGAGAAAUCAAAGUCUUUGGGUUCCGGAGUAUGGUCGCAARGCUGAAACUUAAAGAAUUGACGGAAGGGCCAGGAGUGGAGCUUAUUUGACUCAACACGGGGAAACUCAGUCCAGACAUAGUAAGGAUUGACAGAUUGAGAGCUCUUUCUUGAUUCUAUGGGUGGUGGUGGGCCGUUCUUAGUGGUGGAGUGAUUUUCUGGUUAAUUCCGUUAACGAACGAGACCUUAACCUGCUAACUAGUCCCCAGAAUGACUUCUUAGAGGGACAACUGGCCAGUGAGGCAAUAACAGGUCUGUGAUGCCCUUAGAUGUUCUGGGCCGCACGCGCGCUACACUGACGAAGCCAGCGAGCCUACGCCGAUAGGUGCGGGGAAUCUUGUAAACUUCGUCGUGCUGGGGAUUGAUUUUUGAAAUUCUUGAUCAUGAACGAGGAAUUCCUAGUAAGCGCAAGUCAGCAGCUUGCGUUGAUUACGUCCCUGCCCUUGUACACACCGCCCGUCGCUACUACCGAUUGAAUGGUUUAGUGAGGUCUCCGGAUCGAGAAGCUGCCCUGAUCAUUAGA